AUCCAGCUGACGAGUCCCAAAUAGGACGAAACGCGCGUCCCAU
rfam:Schistosoma rodhaini strain Burundi genome assembly, scaffold: SROB_scaffold0003115